GCGGAGGAGCAUGUGGUUAAUUCGAUGAUACGCGAGGAACCUUACCUGGGCUCGAACGUAAGAUGACUGUAGGUGAAAGCUUACAUCUCUUCGGAGCAUUUUACGAGGUGCUGCAUGGUUGUCGUCAGCUCGUGCCGUGAGGUGUCGGGUUAAGUCCCAUAACGAGCGCAACCCCUACCUUUAGUUGCCAUCAGGUUAAGCUGGGGACUCUAAAGGAACUGCCUACGCAAGUAGUGAGGAAGGCGGGGAUGACGUCAAAUCAGCACGGCCCUUACGUCCAGGGCUACACACGUGCUACAAUGGCCGAUACAGAGGGCAGCUACCUGGUGACAGGAUGCAAAUCUCCAAAGUCGGUCUCAGUUCGGAUCGGAGUCUGCAACCCGACUCCGUGAAGUUGGAUUCGCUAGUAAUCGCGCAUCAGCCAUGGCGCGGUGAAUACGUUCCCGGGCCUU
rnacentral:rRNA from 1 species